rnacentral:rRNA from 1 species
AUAGGGGAGCCGCAGGGAAACCGAGUCUUAACUGGGCGUUAAGUUGCAGGGUAUAGACCCGAAACCCGGUGAUCUAGCCAUGGGCAGGUUGAAGGUUGGGUAACACUAACUGGAGGACCGAACCGACUAAUGUUGAAAAAUUAGCGGAUGACUUGUGGCUGGGGGUGAAAGGCCAAUCAAACCGGGAGAUAGCUGGUUCUCCCCGAAAGCUAUUUAGGUAGCGCCUCGUGAACUCAUCUUCGGGGGUAGAGCACUGUUUCGGCUAGGGGGUCAUCCCGACUUACCAACCCGAUGCAAACUACGAAUACCGAAGAAUGUUAUCACGGGAGACACACGGCGGGUGCUAACGUCCGUCGUGAAGAGGGAAACAACCCAGACCGCCAGCUAAGGUCCCAAAGUCAUGGUUAAGUGGGAAACGAUGUGGGAAGGCCCAGACAGCCAGGAUGUUGGCUUAGAAGCAGCCAUCAUUUAAAGAAAGCGUAAUAGCUCACUGGUCGAGUCGGCCUGCGCGGAAGAUGUAACGGGGCUAAACCAUGCACCGAAGCUGCGGCAGCGACACUUAUGUGUUGUUGGGUAGGGGAGCGUUCUGUAAGCCGUUGAAGGUGGCCUGUGAGGGUUGCUGGAGGUAUCAGAAGUGCGAAUGCUGACAUAAGUAACGAUAAUGCGGGUGAAAAACCCGCACGCCGGAAGACCAAGGGUUCCUGUCCAACGUUAAUCGGGGCAGGGUGAGUCGACCCCUAAGGCGAGGCCGAAAGGCGUAGUCGAUGGGAAACAGGUUAAUAUUCCUGUACUUGGUGUUACUGCGAAGGGGGGACGGAGAAGGCUAUGUUGGCCGGGCGACGGUUGUCCCGGUUUAAGCAUGUAGGCGGAUGUUCCAGGUAAAUCCGGAACGUCACUAACGCUGAGGUGUGAUGACGAGGCACUACGGUGCUGAAGUGACAAAUGCCCUGCUUCCAGGAAAAGCCUCUAAGCAUCAGGUAACAUCAAAUCGUACCCCAAACCGACACAGGUGGUCAGGUAGAGAAUACCAAGGCGCUUGAGAGAACUCGGGUGAAGGAACUAGGCAAAAUGGUGCCGUAACUUCGGGAGAAGGCACGCUGAUGGUAGGUGAAGUGACUUGCUCAUGGAGCUGAAAUCAGUCGAAGAUACCAGCUGGCUGCAACUGUUUAUUAAAAACACAGCACUGUGCAAACACGAAAGUGGACGUAUACGGUGUGACGCCUGCCCGGUGCCGGAAGGUUAAUUGAUGGGGUUAUCCUCGCGGAGAAGCUCUUGAUCGAAGCCCCGGUAAACGGCGGCCGUAACUAUAACGGUCCUAAGGUAGCGAAAUUCCUUGUCGGGUAAGUUCCGACCUGCACGAAUGGCGUAAUGAUGGCCAGGCUGUCUCCACCCGAGACUCAGUGAAAUUGAACUCGCUGUGAAGAUGCAGUGUACCCGCGGCAAGACGGAAAGACCCCGUGAACCUUUACUAUAGCUUGACACUGAACACUGGUCCUUGAUGUGUAGGAUAGGUGGGAGGCUUUGAAGUGUGGACGCCAGUCUGCAUGGAGCCGUCCUUGAAAUACCACCCUUUAAUGGCUGGUGUUCUAACGUGGGCCCCUAAUCGGGGUUGCGGACAGUGUCUGGUGGGUAGUUUGACUGGGGCGGUCUCCUCCUAAAGAGUAACGGAGGAGCACGAAGGUCAGCUAAUCCUGGUCGGACAUCAGGAGGUUAGUGCAAUGGCAUAAGCUGGCUUGACUGCGAGCGUGACGGCGCGAGCAGGUGCGAAAGCAGGUCAUAGUGAUCCGGUGGUUCUGAAUGGAAGGGCCAUCGCUCAACGGAUAAAAGGUACUCCGGGGAUAACAGGCUGAUACCGCCCAAGAGUUCAUAUCGACGGCGGUGUUUGGCACCUCGAUGUCGGCUCAUCACAUCCUGGGGCUGAAGUAGGUCCCAAGGGUAUGGCUGUUCGCCAUUUAAAGUGGUACGCGAGCUGGGUUUAGAACGUCGUGAGACAGUUCGGUCCCUAUCUGCCGUGGGCGCUGGAGAAUUGAGGGGGGCUGCUCCUAGUACGAGAGGACCGGAGUGGACGCAUCACUGGUGUUCGGGUUGUCAUGCCAAUGGCAUUGCCCGGUAGCUAAAUGCGGAAGAGAUAAGUGCUGAAAGCAUCUAAGCACGAAACUUGCCCCGAGAUGAGUUCUCCCUGAC